CCCCGUGAUUAUAGCGCCGUUGUCCUACUCUUACCCAUUCCGAACAAGGAAGUAAAAGGCGGCAGCGAAGACGAUACUAGCCGCCUCGGCGACUGGGAAAAUAUUUCAUCGCGGGGU
rnacentral:rRNA from 1 species